UCUCUUCCUGAUCAAUCAACGAUAAAUAUUCAUCUUCAGUACCAAACCUGCAUUCCAAAAGCUCUACUCUAACCCUAGCAAGUCCUCAUGGAAACUGAAUCACAACAGCAGCUUCACAUUUUCUUCUUUCCAUUUAUGGGUCCAGGACAUAGCAUACCUAUCAUAGAGAUUGCCAAACAAUUUGCUUCUUACUCAGUAAAAUCCACCAUCAUAACCACUCCUCUCAAUGCACCACAAUUUUCCAAAGCAAUCCAAAGAAGAAAACACUUGGGGUUUGAUCAUGAAAUUGAACUUCUACUCCUGAAGUUCCCCUCUGUUGAAGCUGGGUUGCCACAAGAAUGUGAGAGCUAUAACUUGGCUACGUCAACACUAGAGAUGGAGCUAACAUUCUUCAAAGCUAUUACUUUGCUUGAACCACAAUUUGAGCAGGUUUUGGACAAACACCGUCCUCACUGUCUCGUUGUUGAUACCAUGUUUCCUUGGGCUACAACUGCUGCUUCAAAGUUUGGUAUUCCAAGUCUCCUCUUUCAUGGAACCGGCUUCUUCUCAUUGUGUGCUUCAAAGAGUAUAAUAAUACAUCAACCUCACUUGAAGUUGUCAUCUGAUUCAGAGUCUGUUGUCAUUCCUGAUCUUCCAGUUGAAAUUAAGAUAAAAGGAAGCCAAAUACCAUCUUAUUUAAAGCUGAACCUUGUAAAUGAAUUCACCAAGUUGUUUAGAUCAUCCAAGGACGCUGAGGAUAGGAGCUAUGGGGUUAUUGUCAACAGCUUCUAUGAACUUGAACCAGAUUAUGCUGAUCACUAUAGAAAAAUGUUUGGGAAGAAGAUAUGGAUUAUCGGCCCAGGGUCACUGUACAACAAGGUAGCAGAACAUAAAGCAGAGAGGGGAUGCAUGGAAAGCAUUGAGGAAGUGCACAAGUGCUUAUACUAGCUAAAUUCUAAGAAACCGAAGACAGUUGUUUAUGUAUGCUUUGGAAGCCUGACCAAUUUCAAUGAUUUUCAGCUUCUGGAAAUUGCAGUGGGGCUAGAGGCUAGCGGGCAAGAGUUCAUUUGGGUUGUGAACAAAGAAAAUAAAGACAAAGAAGAGUGGUUGCCUGAGGGGUUUGAGCAGAGAAUGGAAGGUAAGGGACUCAUUAUAAGAGGCUGGGCUCCCCAAGUGCUCAUUCUUGAGCAUGAAGCAAUCGGAGGCUUUGUGACUCAUUGUGGGUGGAACUCAAUCCUUGAAGGAGUGUCUGCUGGUGUGCCAAUGAUCACAUGGCCAGUCUCGGCUGAGCAGACUUUUAAUGAAAAGUUGGUGACAGAGAUACUUCGAACUGGUGUUGCCGUUGGUGCUGAUAUAUGGGGCACAUUUGCAGAUGAAAUUGUGAAGAUGGAGGCCGGUGUAAAGAGGGUGGCAAUAGAAAAGUCCGUGAUUCUUAUCAUGGUGGGUGAUGAAGCAGAGGUAAUGAGAAGCCGCGCCAAAGAGCUAGGAAAGAUGGCAAGGAUGGCAGUUGAAGAAGGCGGUUCAUCGUUCAAGGAUUUACGUGCUCUAAUUGCUGAGUUGAGGUCCCUUUCAUCUCCACUCUUCUAUUUUAAAAUUGGGAGCACCUACAGGUGUUCAAAUGUUGUACUUAGUACUAAGGCCAAAAACAAUUGUAAUGGAAUGAAAUGGUGGUAACAAGUUAAAAACAUUGCGAU